CUGAGUUGGUCGAAGAGACGCAUAUUUUCUGUACAAAACGCAAGGUUGAAAUCUGCACUCCUCAUCCGUUAUUGUAAACCUCCUUGUUGUAAAAUUUUUUGUAUUUCGCAAAGUGACAAUUAUGUAUUUCCCUCUCUCAUCACACCGACAAGCUCCGAAAAUUCCAAAAAUUGUCACAACUUUAAAGAGUAACCACUGGUCGUCAGGAGCUUCCAGCAGAAAAGUCUCGACUUGCUCUUUAGUUAGGAUCUUGGCUUUUUUUGGCGUGUAACGGUCAUUUUUUCUUUUUAAAAAAGCAAUUACUUUAUAAAAUCUAAAUAAAACAACAGUUAUUUCUUUCAGUUAUUUACAGUAAACAGCAAACCUGUCAGUUCCAAUAUUUUCUUUAAUUUCUAAGCAGCUUUUUAACAUUGACCACUUGGACCAUAAAGAAUUGGGGCUAUAUUUCAUCGACAGUUGAUUUAAGUAUGCCAAUAUCACUUCCUCGUUUACACUCCCUACGUUCUGCUUCUUCUGCCAAUUUUUAAAAUCUAAAUGAUGCUCGCACCUUGCUGAAGAUUUUUUGGGUAAUAAACCCGAAACUACACUUCUCGCUUCGUUUCUAAUUGCUUCUGGUACGUGAGACAUUUUACUAAUCUGUUAAAGGUGUAAUAAUUGCAAAAUUGCAAAGAAAUUGUUUAAUAAAUAACAUAAAUAACGUUGUUGUCAUGUCGUUUCCACAGUAAUUUUCUACAGCAUUUUGAUAAAUUUUCGAAAAUAGCCACAUUUUUUAUUCAAAUUUUAUUAAUAACUUUCGUUUUGUUUACAAGUGAGAAACAAAUAAAGUAUUGUACAGUAUACGCAAGGUAACCGUUUUUACUGGCUCCAGGAGGUGACAGGCUCGCCUUCGGCUCGCCAGUCAUUCCCUCCUUUCGUUAGUAAAAACCGUUUUACCUUGCUAAUACUGUAAAAUACUAUUACUGUGACUUUAUUAUUUUUAUUAUGCAAUUAUUAUUUUUACUGUGCAUUUAUUAUUUUUACUGUUCA